UACGGAGGGAGCUAGCGUUGUUCGGAAUUACUGGGCGUAAAGGGCGCGUAGGCGGAUAGUUUAGUCAGAGGUGAAAGCCCAGGGCUCAACCUUGGAAUUGCCUUUGAUACUGGCUAUCUUGAGUUCGGGAGAGGUGAGUGGAAUGCCGAGUGUAGAGGUGAAAUUCGUAGAUAUUCGGCGGAACACUAGUGGCGAAGGCGGCUCACUGGCCCGAUACUGACGCUGAGGCGCGAAAGCGUGGGGAGCAAACAGG
rnacentral:rRNA from 1 species